GCUGCAUCUAAAAUUUCCCUCUGUUUAUGCAUGCAGUCGACAAUCGCUUUAAAUGACGGGCAAACAGAGCGCUGACUAACAGUUAUUUACAACGCUCAACUCAAUUUCAACUCAAUUAAACAUCAUGGCGCGAGCAAUUAAUGAGAGUUCUACAAAAAUUGAGCAUGCCUACUAGCCGAUACCAUGUAAAACAUAU